rnacentral:misc_RNA from 1 species
UGUGGGAGCGGGCUUGCUCGCGAAUGCGCAGUGUCAGUCAAUACAUCAGUGACUGAUCCACCGCAUUCGCGAGCAAGCCCGCUCCCACA